UUUGACUACAAGCGGCCCUGAUCUGAAAGUGAAACAAGAAUAUGUUGUGUAAAAAUUGUUCGUCACUGCUUAAUCGUUUCGUUAAGAACGCUUCUUGUCGAUCCCUUUCAAGACUUCUGUCAUCGAAAACCUACAAUGAUUGGAAUAAGGCUGUGUCGGAUGCGGAGAAGAUUGUUGGCUACCCGACAUCGUACAUGAGUCUUCGGUGCUUAAUCAGUGACGAGUUCUCUAACGUCGCGAUGCACCUUAGAAAGUUAGUGGGCACGCGUCACCCGCUUCUAAAAACUGCAAGAGGGUUGCUUCAUGUUGGAAAACAGAACACACAAACCAGAGGUUUAAUUGUGCUUCUCAUUGCCAAAGCAGCAGGACCAGGACCAGCUGAACAAAUAAAAGACCAAGAACCAGACAAGAUCAGUGGAAUAUACUCUAGGUAGUCGAAAAUGUGUCACUUUUUGUACAUUAUAUUUACAUUUAUCUCUAUAAUGUACAUAGUACAAACACAGUUAUUACCCAUACCACAAUUUAUCUUAUUUGGAUUGUGACAUUUUCUUUACAGUACAUUAUUUGUAAACAUACAUAUGGAAAUAUUCUGAGUAAAAUUAUAAGUUAUGUGCCUUGUAAUGCUAAAGGACAAUCAUGCAGCAAUCUGAUGAAGUUUGUUCUUGUUAACUGUCAGCAACCUUUUGAAUUUCGUUUUCCUCUCAUUUUCAGUCAAAGGUCUCUCGCAGAGGUGACAGAAAUGAUCCACAUGGCUAAUCUCAUUCACAAAGGGGUGGUGAACCUCUCAGACUACCUGGAGAGUGAUCAGAGAGAGAAAAAUGACAUGGAAUUUGGAAACAAAAUGGCAGUGCUAAGUGGGGACUUCUUGCUGGCCAAUGCGUGUACAGAAUUAGCCACUCUAAAUAACACUCAUGUUGUGGAAUCAAUGUCCUUGGCCAUCACUGACCUAAUGGAGGCUGAAUUCACCGACCUCAGGAAUGACAAUGGAGAGUCAUUGCUAAAACCGGACAUACAGUUUUCUGAUUGGAUAAAACAGACUUAUCUAUCCUCAGGUAGUUUACUAGCUCGGAGUUGUCGGUCAGCAGUGGAGCUUGCUGAUCAUAGAGAGGACCAAAGAGAGGCUGCAGCCUCAUUUGGAGAAAAUAUGGCAUACCUACAGCAGGUGAGAAAUAAGAUUUUAAGAACAAUGCCAGAGUUUGGAACCCUGUCUCACAAAUGCUUAUUGUAUACUUAGAUUUUAAAGAUAGAUCAUUACAGAUACCGUAGAUUCCUAGUUAAACGCGAGGAAUUGAUAUCAAUGUAAAAUUGCAAGAAUCACAUCUCGCGGAUUUUAAAAUCUCUUUCUUAUUUUUUUGACAGAUGUAAACUAAAAGAAACUAUGAUAAAAAUUAGGCAUUCGCGAUUUCAUAUUCUUGGGAUUUUAUGCAAAACGGUUGAAUUGCAGAAUUAAGUACUCGCAUAAAAUAAGAAAUCUUCAGUAUAUCAUGCUACUUUUUGUUCUUCAUACAAAUUUGACACUUUUACACUUUUUUAUUGUCCCAUUUUAACAAAACCUGUUAGUUUGGGUCAAAUGGCAAUUUAAAGGUGGCUCACUACCAUAGAAAUAAUUUUUUUAAUCAACAGAAAGUUACUUGAUUUUGAAAGAUAGCAUGAUAAAUGCAGAAGAAGUUUAAAAGUCAAGUAGAGGGAAAGUAUGCAAUUUUU
rnacentral:misc_RNA from 1 species